rnacentral:rRNA from 1 species
ACGGAAGGCAGCAGUGGGGAAUAUUGCACAAUGGGGGAAACCCUGACGCAGCGACGCCGCGUGAGUGAUGAAGUAUUUCGGUAUGUAAAGCUCUAUCAGCAGGGAAGAUAAUGACGGUACCUGACUAAGAAGCACCGGCUAAAUACGUGCCAGCAGCCGCGGUAAUACGUAUGGUGCAAGCGUUAUCCGGAUUUACUGGGUGUAAAGGGAGCGUAGGCGGUACGGCAAGUCUGAAGUGAAAUCCCAGGGCUCAACCUUGGAACUGCUUUGGAAACUGUCGAACUAGAGUGUCGGAGAGGUAAGUGGAAUUUCUAGUGUAGCGGUGAAAUGCGUAGAUAUUAGGAGGAACACCAGUGGCGAAGGCGGCUUACUGGACGAUUACUGACGCUGAGGCUCGAAAGCGUGGGGAGCAAACAGGAUUAGAUACCCUGGUA